GCUGGGUGCGGUGGCGGGCACCUGUAAUCCCAGCUACUUGGGAGGCUGAGGAGGGAGAAUUGCUUGAACCCGGGAGGCAGAGGUUGCAGUGAGCAGAGAUCACAGCACUGCACUCCAGCCUGGGCAACAGAGCAAGACCCCUUCUCAA
rnacentral:SRP_RNA from 2 species